AACGCGAAGAACCUUACCAAGGCUUGACAUACACCGGAAAGCAUUAGAGAUAGUGCCCCCCUUGUGGUCGGUGUACAGGUGGUGCAUGGCUGUCGUCAGCUCGUGUCGUGAGAUGUUGGGUUAAGUCCCGCAACGAGCGCAACCCUUGUUCUGUGUUGCCAGCAUGCCCUUCGGGGUGAUGGGGACUCACAGGAGACCGCCGGGGUCAACUCGGAGGAAGGUGGGGACGACGUCAAGUCAUCAUGCCCCUUAUGUCUUGGGCUGCACACGUGCUACAAUGGCCGGUACAAUGAGCUGCGAUACCGUGAGGUGAAGCGAAUCUCAAAAAGCCGGUCUCAGUUCGGAUUGGGGUCUGCAACCCGACCCCAUGAAGUCGGAGUCGCUAGUAAUCGCAUAUCAGCAUUGCUGCGGUGAAUACGUUCCCGGGCCUUGUACACACCG
rnacentral:rRNA from 1 species